UGCAAGUCCGGACGGCAGCCGCGGGGGCAACCCUGGGCGGCGAGUGGCGAACGGGUGAGUAAUACAUCGGAACGUGUCCUGGAGUGGGGGAUAGCCCGGCGAAAGCCGGAUUAAUACCGCAUACGCUCUAUGGAGGAAAGCGGGGGAUCUUCGGACCUCGCGCUCAAGGGGCGGCCGAUGGCAGAUUAGCUAGUUGGUGGGGUAAAGGCCUACCAAGGCGACGAUCUGUAGCUGGUCUGAGAGGACGACCAGCCACACUGGGACUGAGACACGGCCCAGACUCCUACGGGANGCAGCAGUGGGGAAUUUUGGACAAUGGGGGCAACCCUGAUCCAGCAAUGCCGCGUGUGUGAAGAAGGCCUUCGGGUUGUAAAGCACUUUUGUCCGGAAAGAAAACCUCCGUCCUAAUACGGUGGGGGGAUGACGAUACCGGAAGAAUAAGCACCGGCUAACUACGUGCCAGCAGCCGCGGUAAUACGUAGGGUGCAAGCGUUAAUCGGAAUUACUGGGCGUAAAGCGUGCGCAGGCGGUUCGCUAAGACCGAUGUGAAAUCCCCGGGCUUAACCUGGGAACUGCAUUGGUGACUGGCGGGCUAGAGUAUGGCAGAGGGGGGUAGAAUUCCACGUGUAGCUUGAAAUGCGUAGAGAUGUGGAGGAAUACCUAUGGCGAAGGCAGCCCCCUGGGCCAAUACUGACGCUCAUGCACUAAAGCUUGGGGAGCAAACAGGAUUAGAUACCCUGGUAGUCCACUCCCCUAAACGAUGUCAACUAGAUUGUCGGGUCUUUCAUUGACUUUGUGAACGAAUCUAACGCUUGAAAGUUUAACCCCCUGGGGAGUACGGUCCCACCAUU
rnacentral:rRNA from 1 species